rnacentral:rRNA from 1 species
UACGUAGGGUCCGAGCGUUGUCCGGAGUUACUGGGCGUAAAGCGCGCGCAGGCGGCGGUGCUGGCCCGGCGUGAAAGCCCCCGGCUCAACCGGGGAGAGUCGUCGGGGACCGCACCGCUUGAGGGCGGUAGGGGCUGGUGGAAUGCCUGGUGUAGUGGUGAAAUGCGUAGAGAUCAGGCAGAACACCUGGGGGGAAGGCGGCCAGCUGGGCCGUCCCUGACGCUGAGGCGCGAAGGCGUGGGGAGCGAACGGG